CGAGUAAGGAGCAAUUCUUACUUGGCAAUCGUCUGUAGGCCCUGCGAGGCACAGCUAGGCACGGCCUAAAGCCUGCACCAGUAGGCCCAGGUGCCCGGGCCUAUGGGUGCAGGCUUUGGCCCCUACACGCACAGGCCUGGCAGGGGAGAAGGUUAGGGGUGGCUGGGUCAUCCUGUGCCUCCCCCCUCCUUUGCCCGGCUCCUUACCAGGCAUUUGAGCAGUGCUGGCUGGUGCUGUGACCUUGGCCGGUGCCUCCCCCCCCCCCCCAAUCCGAAAAACAAAAAAACGAAACAAAACAAAUGUCUGACCUCCCGAUUUCAGGAGGUCAGACAAAAAUGGAUCAGGGCCUCGACGAAAGCUGGGACACAAAAUAGAACAAGAUCUCUUGCAUAUGGAUGCAGAUCCCAAAUCUAUUCAAGAUAAAGCAGAAGGAUCUGUUCAAAGCAGCAGCCAUUGAUGAUCAAAUAGACUCACGCCUUUCCCUGCAGUGAUACUUUAGGGCUUUCUGGCCCUUAUAUUGCCCAUUCAAGAGCCAUUCCUCAAUUAAACCUAUCAGUCUCACUAGAAUUUUAAUGCAACUGGUGCCUUCUCUUCUUAUAUAGCCAUCCAUUGGUUCUAUAGCAGUCUUUAUAUCAAGCAUUAUGAUCCAUACAUGUGUUAAAUGCCUUAAACGUAAAUGCCUUAUGGUUAGCUGUGACCAGCAGUGCAGUGGAAUUCAAAGAGGCAAAAGGGAGAAACAUGCCAAGAUGAAGGUGCAUCAAGCCAAUCCUGACCGGGACCGCCUUCUACUGGAAACAGAUGCCCUCACUGCGGAAGAACAUGCGGGUCAAAAAUAGGACUCCACAGUCACCUACGUACCCACUACCAAGAUACUACACUUGGAGGGCCAUCAUACUUGGACAACGAGGGAUCACCUUAGUAAAAUGACUUAACUAGAGCUACCAGGAUUUCCAUGUUAUCACCAACCCUUUGAUAAAUGGCCACCAUUAAUAAUGUAAUCAUCACUGUUGUUGUUUUUAAUUGCCAUCACGUAUGAUUCACGUUUUGGCCACCCUAUAGAAAUUACUUCAAGACAUACUUGACAUUUACAACGGCAAAUGAAUGAAUGAAUGAAUGAAUGAAAGAUGUCUGAGGCCCCUUCCACACAGCUAUAUAAAAUUCACAUUGGGCUGGAUUAUAUGGCAGUGUGGACUCAGAUAAUCCAGUUCAAAGUAGAUAUUGUGGAUUAUCUACCUGAAUAUUCUGGGUUAGAUGGCUGUGUGGAAGGCUACACUAUUGUUAUCAACAGCCCUUUUUAGGUCUUGCAAACUCAGGGCUGUGGUUUCCUUGAUUGUCUCAACAGUAUCACAGACUUCCUCCUUUCCUACUAUCUUCUGCAUUAAUUUUUCCUCUGAACUUACUGUUUAAGAUCUCACUCAAUAACCAUAUUCAUUGUGUAUAUAGCUGAAAUUCAGUAUAAUAAUCCACCUGUCAAAUUAAAAGAUAUAGAUGUGUUGGUCUGGAAUAUCAGCAUGCAAAGAGAUCUUGUACUAUUUUAGAUACUGAGAGAAUGAAGGUGGUAACAUAAGCAUUUAGAUUUAAGUAGUAGUCUCCUUCCUCAGAUGUUCAGAUCCAUCAGUCUGAUAAAAUGGGCUAUAGACCACAAAACAUGCUGCAGUCCAAUGAUCAGUCAUAACUCUUUGUUGUUUUAAUUCUUAGCUAUAUGCUGUCCACCUUCACAUAGAGCUCCUACCUUAGGGUCUUCAUUCUUGCUCCAUUCUGGAAAAGCUUCUAUUUUUUCAUCUCUCUCCUCAUCUUAUUUUUUCUUCUCCUUCACCUAGUACUCAGAUUGGAAAUUGUGUGACCUUCCAGAUGGCAUUGAUCUGCAGUCUUUCUCAUAUCUAAUCACUGAUGCCAAUAGUAAAGGAUGGUCAUAGAAGUUGUAGUGAAUGAUAUCUGGAAGUCCACAUACUAUCUCUUUGUUGCUGUGUGCAAGUCUUUUCCAACUUACCCUUUCAUGGAGUUUUCUUGGCAAGAUUUGUCAAAAGAGAGAGUUGCCUUUGCUUCCCUUGGAGACUCAAAGAGUAUGGCUUUCCAAAGAUUAUCCAGUGGGCUUCCAUGACUGAAUCGGGAUUCAAAUUCUGGCCACCAGAGUCACAGCCCAUUCUGGUUUUUGUUUUCAUUAGUAGUGCUGUUACUAAUAUUAAAACUGCUGUGAAUCUCUGAGGAAGAGAAGAGCAGCAGACACAGUUCCAUUAUACCUGGACCCAAUGACUGGUGAGAGACUCUCUCUCUCUCUCUCUCUCUCUCUCUCUCUCUCUCUCUCUCUCUCUCUCUCUCUCUCUCUCUCUCUCUCUCUUUUUGUUUCAGAUGCCACUGUGGUGGCCUCUGAAGGAGAGAUGGAGGGCCAAGUACACCUCCAUUGUACCUGGUCCCUAAUAGCUGGUAAAAGCCCCUCCUUGCGUGUUUCAACUGUCAUUGCAGUGGCCUCUGAUGGAGAGAAGAGCAACCAGGCAUGGCUCCUUCAAGCCUGCUGAUGAGAGUCUACCCUCCAUUCUGCUUUUGUUGUGGCCUCUGAAGCAGAGGAGAACAGCAGAACUCCAUUGUGUCUGGGCCCCAGCAGCAGGCAGGAGCCCCUCAUUCCAUUUUACAACUGCCAUUGCUGUGGCCCUUGAAAAAAAUGGCAAAUGGCCAUGAACUGCUGACCAUAAUUCCCAUCCUAUCACCUCCUUUUCUUUGUGUUACAUGUCUUGUUUGAAUUGGAAGAUUGUGAGCAGGGAGAUAUCAAACUAAUUAACUGUAAGCCAUGCCAGGAAGCAUUGUAGUUAAACAGCAGAACAUAAAUACUUUAAAUAAAUAAAUAAACAAACAGCAUGACAAUAUUAAGCAAGAAAGAUUAUCUACCUAUCACCUUCAUCUUAAUGCCAAGAAAAGCUUCGCCUGCUUAAUUUUACUAUGUCAGUCAUAGGAAAAAGUCUCCCAAUUCUUUGUUUGGAUGAAUGGGUUUCCAUUCUUUCUCUGGUCACUAAUUUAUUUAUUUAUUUAUUACAUCACUUCUACCCCACCCUUCUCACCCAUCAGGGGACUCAGGGUGGCUUACAAUAUAAACAUACACAUUAAAAACAGUUGUCGUCAAAUUUAAAACUCCAUCAAGAUUAAAAAUUACAAUAAAAUUAAGAAUAUCAAUUAAAAUAUACAUAAUUAUACAUUUAAAUAUACAUUUAAGGCGCUUUCCAUGUUCAUGUGGGGUCUGUCAGUAGGUCAUAUAUUCUUAUCUCAUUUUUGCUCCUCCUUAAAACUCUGUUGCUUUUCUCAUCAAAACUUUUCCUAAAUCAUCUGUAUCCCUAUUAACUUACAUGUCAUCUCACUCCCUCUCAUGCAGAAUGCAAUUAUGUCUCUUUUAUGUUCCAUAACAAGAGGAAGGCCAGUGUAGCCUAAUGGUUUGGCAAUUGGACUACAGCUCUGGAGACCAGGACUCAAAUCCCCAUUUCUUAUGGAAAACCACUGCGUGUCCUUAGGAAAAUCAAAUUAUCUCAGCCUCAAAGGAAGGCAAAGUCUUUCCUUUGAAUCAGUCUUGCCAAGAAUAACCAAUGAGAGGUUCUCCUUAAGAUCACCAUAAGCCAGAAAUGACUUGAAGGCACACAACAACAAUGGGAGGAAACCAAAUUAUUUAUAACUCAAUUAUCUCUGUUCUGUAAUUUUUUAAAAAAUACAUCUAACACAGGUAUGGGCAAACUGGCCCUCCAGGUGUUUUGGACUUCAACUCCGACAAUUCCUAGACUGUUAGAAAUUGUGGGAGUUGAAGUCCAAAACACCUGGAGGGCCAAAGUUUGCCUGAUCUAACACAACUGAUAGAUUGCUGUGGCCAGUGCUCUGGAAUUAUAUCCAAUGCAUUGGAUGUUAUCCCAGAGCAGUGGUCACAUUAAUCUAUCAGUUAGAUGUGGCUCUGAACACAUAACAUCUUACAAUGAUUUUGGAAAUCUGAUUAGUAUUUGGGUAGAAUUAUCACCAAGGGUUCCAAGUAGGAAAAAAUGAUGUCUGAAACUGAAAAUUUUCUGCUACUCACAGUUGGCAACAGUGGGUUAACUGCUAUGGUGUCAUGGAGGUUGAACAGACAAUGUUAUUUUACAUAUUGAGAUAAUUUGGUUUUGUAUUUCUUAAAUAACAGGUAAUCCAGUAAGAGCUGUUGGGAGGCUGUGAGCAAAGGGAAUAUUAAGAGUGGUGAUUUGAGGGUUGUUUGAAGGGAUCUGAAUGAGAAUGAAGGUUGACAGACUGACAAUUGAGUUGUAGAUUAAAAAGGUGUGAGUGAAUGAGAGGAAAAGUUGAACAAGUCUGUCAUGUUUAGGAAUUAAUGAGUCAGAUUUUAGACUCUGAUUUAGUAGUGUUUUAAAUGUAUUAAAUUAGCAAUUAGUUUUAUUAUGUUCAACUUCUGUUAAUAAAUUAUUGUUUUGUGUAUAA